rnacentral:rRNA from 1 species
AGCGAGUCUGCCUUGAAGAUCGGAGUGCUUGCACUCUGUGAAACAAGAUACAGGCUAGCGGCGGACGGGUGAGUAACACGUGGGUAACCUGCCCAAGAGAUCGGGAUAACACCUGGAAACAGAUGCUAAUACCGGAUAACGACAGAUGAUGCCUAUCAACUGUUUAAAAGAUGGUUCUGCUAUCACUCUUGGAUGGACCUGCGGUGCAUUAGCUAGUUGGUAGGGUAACGGCCUACCAAGGCGAUGAUGCAUAGCCGAGUUGAGAGACUGAUCGGCCACAUUGGGACUGAGACACGGCCCAAACUCCUACGGGAGGCAGCAGUAGGGAAUCUUCCACAAUGGACGCAAGUCUGAUGGAGCAACGCCGCGUGAGUGAAGAAGGGUUUCGGCUCGUAAAGCUCUGUUGUUGGUGAAGAAGGACAGGGGUAGUAACUGACCUUUGUUUGACGGUAAUCAAUUAGAAAGUCACGGCUAACUACGUGCCAGCAGCCGCGGUAAUACGUAGGUGGCAAGCGUUGUCCGGAUUUAUUGGGCGUAAAGCGAGUGCAGGCGGCUCGAUAAGUCUGAUGUGAAAGCCUUCGGCUCAACCGGAGAAUUGCAUCAGAAACUGUCGAGCCUGAGUACAGAAGAGGAGAGUGGAACUCCAUGUGUAGCGGUGAAAUGCGUAGAUAUAUGGAAGAACACCGGUGGCGAAGGCGGCUCUCUGGUCUGUUACUGACGCUGAGGCUCGAAAGCAUGGGUAGCGAACAGGAUUAGAUACCCUGGUAGUCCAUGCCGUANACGAUGAGUGCUAAGUGUUGGGAGGUUUCCGCCUCUCAGUGCUGCAGCUAACGCAUUAAGCACUCCGCCUGGGGAGUACGACCGCAAGGUUGAAACUC